ACAAAAUAUCCACGCCCGACGGAUCGGAUCAGUUUUGCCAACAAAUUUAGACUAUUAGUGAAUUCAUUUUGAUUCGAGGGAAAAACGACUACUUCAAAACUCUAUCGCUCAGGAGAAAGAAUUAUGGAAGCUAUGUUGCAUGAUAUGGAGCUUAGGUUCGAAGCCAAGUUUGAAGCCAAGUUUAAAGCCAUUGAAUCAAAAUUCGUGUGUAGGCAUGUUCUCCAACGGUGAUGAUCCAUUCGCUUGGAUCGCCAAAUCUGAAGUGUAUUUCAAUGUUCAAAAUACUCCUGCCGAUUUAAAAGUCAAUUUGGCUAAACAUUGUAUGCAUGAUGACGUUUCUAAAGCUUUGAUUAAGGAGGGUAAAGAAGAAGCUCCGACUUGGGAGGGACUGAAGGAUGCAUUGCUUAAAAGCUGCAGCGGCGGGGAGAUUGCAUCUCUACGUACAAAAGUUGCUCAGUUGGAGAGAGACUUACGUAAAGCUAAGCAAGAAACCUCUGAUAAAGAAAAGGAACUGAAGCAACUGAAAGAUACCGAAGAGAAAAUGAAACCUAAGGUUUGAUUAUUUUUCAGCUUUUUAUCGCACAGGAGUUGUUGGUAAACUUUUCUUCCUGAUUCUAUCACGACACAAGACUCCUACAUGGUAUUUAAAAUAUAAUGAAGUGGUGGAUGAAAUCGUGCAUGUGCAUCAAACUUCUAUAACAAAGAUGAACUAGAAAUUUUGAAGAGGUUAUUGUUCUCAUACUCCUGUAUAAGUUAAGGAGCAUUCCAUGUGUCAAGCAUAAAAAAAAAGGUUAAGUCAGCCUGUUCUUGUAUUUUGCAGAGAACAGAAAUAAUAUAUGACUUGCUGAAGUCAGUGUCAAAGGUUGAGAGACAAGAAGCAAGGCUAAAAGCACGACAGAAUUCGUCGAGACUUGGAAAUGUUUUAAUCAGAUAAGGGUGAUGGAAUAGAUGCAGAGGCUGGAUUGUCGGAAGAUAUUCUCAUUCACGAGGAAAUCUAUAAGUCUCGACUAGCCAGCAUUAA